rnacentral:rRNA from 1 species
UACGGAGGGUGCAAGCGUUGUCCGGAUUUAUUGGGUUUAAAGGGUGCGUAGGCGGCCCCUUAAGUCAGCGGUGAAAGCCCGGGGCUCAACCCCGGAACCGCCGUUGAUACUGGGGGGCUUGAGUACAGACGAGGUAGGCGGAAUUGAGGGUGUAGCGGUGAAAUGCUUAGAUACCCUCAAGAACACCGAUUGCGUAGGCAGCUUACUAGGCUGUGACUGACGCUGAGGCACGAAAGCGUGGGGAGCGAACAGG